rnacentral:rRNA from 1 species
AGUGAACGCUGGCGGUAGGCCUAACACAUGCAAGUCGAACGGCAGCACAGUAAGAGCUUGCUCUUACGGGUGGCGAGUGGCGGACGGGUGAGGAAUACAUCGGAAUCUACUUUUUCGUGGGGGAUAACGUAGGGAAACUUACGCUAAUACCGCAUACGACCUACGGGUGAAAGCAGGGGAUCUUCGGACCUUGCGCGAUUGAAUGAGCCGAUGUCGGAUUAGCUAGUUGGCGGGGUAAAGGCCCACCAAGGCGACGAUCCGUAGCUGGUCUGAGAGGAUGAUCAGCCACACUGGAACUGAGACACGGUCCAGACUCCUACGGGAGGCAGCAGUGGGGAAUCUUGGACAAUGGGCGCAAGCCUGAUCCAGCCAUACCGCGUGGGUGAUGAAGGCCUUCGGGUUGUAAAGCCCUUUUGUUGGGAAAGAAAAGCAGCAGGUUAAUACCCCGCUGUUCUGACGGUACCCAAAGAAUAAGCACCGGCUAACUUCGUG